AUGGCGGAGUCGGCUGUUAGCGCUGUGCUGGGGAGCGCGGGUAAUCUUGCAGUCCAGGAGACUAUAUUUUUGUGUGGAGUCACCCUUCAAGUGGGGCUAUUGAAAGAUGAGCUGAUGCGGAUUCAGGCCUACCUCAAAGAUGCUGACAACAAAUGGAGAUUAGGAAAUGCUAGAGUUGCUAUCUUGGUCACCCAGAUCAGGGCUGCGGCAUACGAGGCUCAGAAUGUCAUCGAAGAAGCUGAUUACAUGGAGAAGAGAAACAGGAUCAAAAAGGGGUUCAUAGGUGCCAUUUCAAGGUAUGCUCGCUUACCGACCGACUUGAUUACCCUCCAUAAAAUUGGUGCUGACAUUCAGCGGGUAAGAAGGAAGCUCAGCGAGAUCUUUGUGAGUGCAGAAAAUCUGAAAAUUGAUUUGGAUAAUACUGGUGUGGUUGAUUAUGAGUUUCCACAAGAUAAUGGUCUUAUGAACCAGAACUCUGAAGAUGAUGUUGUCAUGGUUGGUUUUGAGGAUGAGCACAAAGAAAUAGUGGAUAAGUUAGUUAGCGGUGACAACAUGCUUACUGCAGUCUCAAUAGUUGCCAUGGGUGGGGCGGGAAAAACAACACUCGCUAGAAAAGUCUACACUUCAUCCACGGUCAGGAAACACUUUGAGGCAAUUGCUUGGGUGACCGUAUCCCAAAAGUUCAAGGGCAUUGAUUUACUGAAUAAUAUUAUGAAACAAAUAAUAGGAACCACAGAUGAGUCUAGUGACAUCGAUGUAACGCAGGAGUACGAGGUGGGAAAGAAGAUCCAUGAUUUUCUGUUGCAUAAAAGAUACUUCGUAGUUCUUGAUGACGUGUGGGAAACAGAUACAUGGGAGCAAAUAAGUAGAAUGGUUAAUGUUUUUCCAGAUGCAACUACUGGAAGUAGAAUUUUGUUAACCACAAGAAAGAAAGAUGUUGCGAAUCAUAUUCAAAUGCAGACUCAUGUUCAUGUUCUAAAGCACUUGGAUGAUGAGAAAAGCUGGGAACUUUUUAGUAGCAGAGCGUUACCAUCAUACAAAAGGUCCUCCAUAUGUGACGUCAAAGAGGUUGAAGAAUUAGGGAGAAAGCUUGCAAAGAAAUGUAAUGGAUUACCACUGGCCCUUGCAGUUCUGGGGGCUUAUCUAUCAAAGAAUCUAAAUUCAGAAGCAUGGUCUGAUAUGCUUUUGGAUUGGUCAUCAACCAAAAAUGGACAGAUGAUGCGAGCCAUAAUAGCUCGCAGUUACAAAGACCUCCCAAGUCAUUAUUUCAGAUCUUGUUUCCUCUAUUUUGCCGCUUUUUGUGAGGAUUCUGAAAUAGAUGUCUCAGACCUUAUUGAAAUAUGGAUAGCAGAAAGUUUGAUUCCGCAUAUGUUAAAGCAUACACCAGAACAAACAGCACGCAAGUAUGUGACUGAGUUGGCUCAAAGAAGCUUGGUCCAAGUUGUUUCCAGAAGCAGGGCACACGGCUGGAUUGAAACAAUAAGAAUUCAUGAUAUUCUACGUGACUGGUGUGUAGAAGAAGCAAGACAAGAUGGUUUUCUUAAUGCCAUUGACAAUACAACAAGAGUUGGCGCCUCAUCAUCUGAUACCAUGAUAUCUUAUCGUUAUUCUUUUCAAAACAUUACUGGUCAGAUAUUGCAAGCAACACCUAAUGCCCAAACUCUUGUUGGUUUUAGACUCUCGUCAGUGUCCCUGCCUAAGCUCAGAUUUCUGAGAGUAAUUCACAUUGAAAACUCGGACCUAAAGGAUUUCUGUGCAAUUGAUGGGUUCAUUCACCUAAGAUAUCUUAGGUUGAGAGCAUGUAGGCAUGUGGCACUUCCUACUUCAAUUGGAAAACUCCUUAACUUGGAAAAUUUAGAUUUAAGAAACACAUAUCUGAAGGAAGCAGUACCGAUGUCCCUCUGGCAUAUCUCUACUUUAAGGCAUGUUUACCUCAGUAACGUGUUCCCUCCACCAAGUAAUGUGCAGCAAAAAGAGUUGAUGACCUUAUGGUUAGAUCUUGGAUCUAUUGGAACUAAAUAUUUCGGGAAUGGCAUGGUGAAUUUUGUUGGCCAAAUGACUCAAUUGACAACCCUCUUCUUGUGCAUGAGCCUAGUCCCUGCAGAGAUGAUAAAUAUAUUUGUCAACAUGCCUCGACUAGUAGAUAUUUACCUCACCAGAUUCAGUGUGCUUGGUAAGUUGCCCGAGAGCCAUCACUUCCCACAAAGCCUACGACGUCUCCAUCUAUCUGCUGAUGUCAUUAACCAAGACCCAAUGCCGAUCCUGGAGAAGCUUCCCUCUCUUGUGGUGCUCAUUUUGAGAGGUUAUGAAGGUCGUACUAUGUCUUGCUCUGCCCAAGGCUUUCCUCGUCUACAAGAGUUAAAGCUUCGUAGUUUUUCCAUGGAGGAGUGGAGGAUGGAACUAGGGACAAUGCCAAAACUCUCUCACCUUGAACUUUGGUGGUGUCAAAAGAUAAGCGAGCUACCGGAGGGGUUGCUGCACCUUUCGUCCCUCAGUGUCCUGAAACUAUACGACGCAUCCCUGAUCUCUGAAGAUGACAACACACUGAAGGAGCUGCGGCGGAAAGCAUGUGGGACGUUGUUGAUGGAAAACUCUUAUGGUGAUUAUGCAUGCUGCUUAGUUUACGAGCAGUUGACAUGUCUUGGUAUUAUUUCCUAA
rnacentral:rRNA from 1 species